UAUUAUUGCAUGACAUGACAAACCUUGCAAAUCCUCACUUUGACUAUCAUCAUAUGAUGGUUUUUUAGUACAGAGUUCUUCGACAGAGCAGUGACUCUGCUGCUCUCAUUAUGAAGUACUUUUUGCCCGUGAUCUAGCCUGGUUACUUCUUCGUCAUGUUUUGUGGCUCAGAAGGAAUUGUUUUAACAUCACUCUGUUUUUGGGUGUCAUUUGAGCAUGGUUCGAAUGGGUAAUGAGGAGACUUGUUUUUGUAGCUUGUUGAUACUGCUCUUUGACUGAUCAUGUCAUGGGUGCAUGAAUAGGGAUAGAAUUCAAGGCAUGGAAGGAAAGAAAUUUGAGGAAGAGGAGGUUUAGGGAUUAAUGUAUUUCUUCUUCUUAAGGACUAAGGUGGCUAACGAUGAAUGAAGAAAUUCUACCUCAGCCCAUGAACCUAUAUGUUGUUUGUUCAAUUUACCCGUUAAAUGCUUCUGUGAUUGAAGAAAUAGA
rnacentral:lncRNA from 1 species